AGAGUUGAUCCUGGCUAGGACGAACGCUGCGGCAUGCCUAACACAUGCAAGUCGAACGGGGGGUAGCAAUACCCUAGUGGCGAACGGGUGAGUAACACAUAAGCAAUCUGCCCUUCACAGGGGGAUAACAGCGGGAAACUGCUGCUAAUACCGCAUAAGACCACGGUACCGCAUGGUACAGGGGUAAAAACGAAUCAGUGGUGAAGGAUGAGCUUAUGUUCCAUUAGCUAGUUGGUGAGAUAACAGCCCACCAAGGCGACGAUGGGUAGCCGACCUGAGAGGGUGAUCGGCCACACUGGAACUGAGACACGGUCCAGACUCCUACGGGAGGCAGCAGUGGGGAAUAUUGGGCAAUGGAGGAAACUCUCCACCCAGCAAUGCCGCGUGAGUGAAGAAGGUCUUCGGAUUGUAAAGCUCUUUGAUUGGGGACGAAGAAAGUGACGGUACCCAAAGAACAAGCCCCGGCUAACUACGUGCCAGCAGCAGC
rnacentral:rRNA from 1 species